rnacentral:misc_RNA from 1 species
GUUUCUGGCAAAAACAUCAAUGAGGAUAUUGAAGCCGCUGACUUUAUCUUAAAGGAGACGGCUGAAUGCUUAUGUAACCCUCACGCAUAUUUCAGCAAGGUAGUAGAUGAGGCAAUAAGAAAUGAUGCAGAUCACAACACCAAAAAGGCAUUGACAAGAGUAAUUGUAACCAGAGCAGAUGUGGAUUUGAAGGAGAUUAAAGAAGAGUACAAUAGCUUAUAUGGUGUUCCCCUAACCCAGAAAAUUGACGACAAUGCUAAUGGGAACUAUAAGGAUUUGUUGCUUGCCUUGAUGACAAGGGACUAAUUGAAGGAGGACAGACUGAAAUAAGAGGAAUUGGUGAAAUGAUUGAAUUAGAG